UGCUGGAAAGAUAGCCCCUUGCCCUCAGGCUGAACCUGGACAGGGACUUUCCAGAUCUCACAGCAUACCUGGUUCAUGCUGAUUGCCCCUUACUGUCACUGAUAUUUUUAUCCAUGUUGGUUUUCCUCUGCAGGAAAUUAACUGCUAAGAUUGGUGGACGCUCCUUUAUCUGAUGAGGAAUGGACUUUUAUGGUUCUCAUAAGACCCUCAAGAUAACCAGGAAGAAGAAGGAGCUGAUCAGCCUGUGCUCACGCCCGAUACCAGCGGGGAGUAAACGGGUGUUUUCACAGAGCCCCAAGUGGCUCAGCAAUUGCAGCCUUGGCAGGAGCAUCUUCGGGCUGGUGGAGCCAAGGCAGUGAGUAACGCGCCUGCGACCCUCUGCCCAGGCUGGUACGCUGUGCUGUGGAGAUUGUGCUGCUGCUGAAUGUGCUGCUGGGCACGUGGGGGAGAGAUGAAGACAUUUCUUCUGAGUUUUAACUGCAUUGCAACUGGGAACACUCUGGAGCAACAGUUCAAUCAGUCCCGCAGAUGUUUGCUUUAAACUGAGCUCUCAGCAAAGCCUGGGAAUGGAGGAGUGCUGGGGCCCCGGGGAAGGCCACCCGGCCCACCACAGCGUCCACCUUCCAACACGUCCCUCAAUUAGGAUCAGCAACAUGUCACCUUCCUCCUGGACACCAGCCAAAGCCUAUCAAGUGAUUCAUGCAAUAAUUUGACUGUUUUGUGAUGUUUUACAUACACGGUUUGCUCAUGGCUGUGUCCAACCUGGAGCUGCAGUUGUCUGGGAUGUCUAAACAUCAAUUAAAUCACAUGCAUUCAUUUACGUCCAUAAACAUGUUGGUGCCUACAUCUGUUUACUAUGCAAUAUUGUUGCUAUAGCUACUUUACUAUUGAAGCUGUUUGUUGCAGUGUGAUCCCUGCUAAAUCAUACACCGAGGUACAAAAACAAGAAGCUGCUGUUGUUUGAAAUAUGUGUUAGCACUCUGUGGUUAUACUUGUCCCACUGCAGUGACACUGCAGAGUUUAUGAGAAGAAAGAUCCUUGUGAGGGACCUCCACAUGAGAGUUUCCUCCUCGUAUUUCACCCUUUGAAAGCAAAAAGACAGCCGGAGAAGCUGAGCUGGGCACUCCUGGCAUGAGAAACACCCCACAGCUCCUUCUGCUGAAGUGCAGUGAGCUGCUCGUUCUGCUCCUGUUGUGGCCAGCACAAGGUUCAGGAAGACCCAGGAAUUAGGGAAAUGGAGCUGCAGGCUCUUACCAGUGUCAUCCAGUGUCAGUGGCAGUUCUGAGGACAUGGCUGUAGCCUGCCCUGGAGCUGCAAUAGAUGCAACAGCUCUGCAGUUAGUAGUAGUACAAGUCAUUGUCUGGGGCAAGCCUACCCACUGCAGAUGUGCUUCUCUUUUCCUGAGCAGCUGGGUAAAUAGCAAUAGAAAGCUUUCCUGUGGUAAAGAGAUGUAAAUCACAGGCACAUACACAGCCCAGGGGUGCUGCUGCACUCCAGACCCUGCUUUUCCACCAUUCCAUAAUGUUAAAAAACCAAACCAGUUACUUCUACUUUUUUAGGUCAGAGCAAGGGCUGUGUCUUUUGUCUGCUGCCUGUGUUCUCCAACUCCAGCAAGUCUUGGGUAGAGCAGAGAAGCCCUUGCUCUGGCAGGGAGAGGGGAAUGCAAUGAGCAGUACUGCCGAAUAACUCAUAUUCAGCUGAGAGACCAAGCUGAAAACCAGAAUUUUUACUUUACCCCAAAUAUUUUUUUCUGCCAAAAACAAAAACAAGAAGAGUUUCCUUAGCACUAUUUCAAAAAAAGAUAAAGGAGCCGUUUCAUGUAGGAAAUAUUACAAGCCACUUCCUUUCACAAUGGCCCAAAUAAAAUGUUUAGCCAUCCCUGAAUCA
ensembl:lncRNA